rnacentral:rRNA from 1 species
AUACAGAGGGUGCAAGCGUUAAUCGGAUUUACUGGGCGUAAAGCGCACGUAGGCGGAUUGGUCAGUUGGGGGUGAAAUCCCGAGGCUUAACCUCGGAACUGCCUCCAAAACUGCCAGUCUUGAGUUCGAGAGAGGGAGGUGGAAUUUCUAGUGUAGCGGUGAAAUGCGUAGAUAUUAGAAGGAACAUCAGUGGCGAAGGCGGCCUCCUGGAUUAACACUGACGCUGAGGUGCGAAAGCGUGGGGAGCAAACAGGAUUAGAUACCCCGGUAGUCC